rnacentral:lncRNA from 1 species
AUUCAUUCACCUCUUCAGGAAACACAUCAGGAAAAUCACACACCACGGCUAGAUCGCCAAUCACCAGUUUAUCUUUAGCCUCCAAAGUCGCUAACAGCAUAAACAACUCUGCUCCAUCCACUACUUCUUCAUCACCUGUCUUGCUGAUAGAAACAAACUCUUUCUUCUUCAAUCUCAGGAAAAACCACCGUCUUAUCAAAACAAUUGAUAGAAACUCGGUUAAACACCAACCAGUUCAUACCCAGAAUAACAUCAAUCUGCACUAACGGAAGACACACAAGGUCUAUCCCAAAGUCUCUACCAAAAAUACUCAAAGG